rnacentral:rRNA from 1 species
UAUAUGGUCAAGCGAAUAAGCGCAUACGGUGGAUGCCUUGGCAGCUGGAGGCGAUGAAGGACGUUGGAGCCUGCGAAAAGCUUCGGGGAGUCGGCAACCAGACUUUGAUCCGGAGAUGUCCGAAUGGGGAAACCCACUGGCGCAAGCCAGUAUCCCGUGACUGAAUCCAUAGGUUACGGGAGGCGAACGCGGGGAACUGAAACAUCUAAGUACCUGCAGGAAAAGAAAUCAACCGAGAUUCCCUUAGUAGUGGCGAGCGAACGGGGAAGAGCCCAGCACUUGUAUCGCGUCGUGUCAUAGGAGAAGGGCCUGGAAAGGCCUGCCAUAGUGGGUGAUAGCCCCGUAUCCGAAAUGGCGCGGCGAGUUGAGUGCGAUGAGUAGGCCGGGACACGUGAAAUCCUGGUUGAAGACGGGGGGACCAUCCUCCAAGGCUAAAUACUCCCAGCUGACCGAUAGUGAACCAGUACCGUGAGGGAAAGGCGAAAAGAACCCCGGAGAGGGGAGUGAAAUAGAUCCUGAAACCGUAUGCGUACAAGCAGUGGGAGCCCACUUUGUUAGGGGUGACUGCGUACCUUUUGUAUAAUGGGUCAGCGACUUACUGUCAGUGGCAAGCUUAACCGUCUAGGGGAGGCGUAGGGAAACCGAGUCUUAAUAGGGCGUUUCAGUCGCUGGUAGUAGACCCGAAACCGGGCGAUCUAGCCAUGGACAGGGUGAAGGUUCGGUAACACGGACUGGAGGCCCGAACCGGGAUCUGUUGAAAAAGAUUCGGAUGAUCUGUGGCUAGGAGUGAAAGGCUAAUCAAGCCCGGAGAUAGCUGGUUCUCCGCGAAAGCUAUUUAGGUAGCGCGUCAGGUGAUUACCCACGGGGUAGAGCACUGUUUCGGCUAGGGGGUCAUCCCGACUUACCAAACCGAUGCAAACUCCGAAUACCGUGGAGUACAGCCUGGCAGACACACGGCGGGUGCUAACGUCCGUCGUGAAAAGGGAAACAACCCAGACCGCCAGCUAAGGUCCCCAAUACUGGUUAAGUGGGAAACGAUGUGGGAAGGCACAGACAGCUAGGAGGUUGGCUUAGAAGCAGCCAUCCUUUAAAGAAAGCGUAAUAGCUCACUAGUCGAGUCGGCCUGCGCGGAAGAUUUAACGGGGCUCAAACCAGUAACCGAAGCUGCGGGUGCUCACGCUUGCGUGGGCGCGGUAGCGGAGCGUUCCGUAGGCCAGUGAAGGAGAAUCGGGAGGUUCUCUGGAGGUAUCGGAAGUGCGAAUGCUGACAUGAGUAACGACAAGGGAGGUGAAAAACCUCCCCGCCGGAAGACCAAGGGUUCCUGCGCAACGGUAAUCGGCGCAGGGUGAGUCGGCCCCUAAGGCGAGGGCGAGAGCCGUAGUCGAUGGGAGACUGGUUAAUAUUCCAGUACCUUUUGUUACUGCGAUGGGGGGACGGAGAAGGCUAGGCCAGCGCGGCGUUGGUUGUCCGCGUUCAAGCGAGUAGGAAGACCCGUUAGGCAAAUCCGGUGGGUCAAUUCCGAGACGUGAUAACGAGCCGUCGAGACUUCGGUCCGAUGGCGAAGUGGUUGAUGCCCUGCUUCCAGGAAAAGCCUCUAAGCUUCAGGUAACGAGAGACCGUACCCCAAACCGACACAGGUGGGCAGGGAGAGAAUCCCAAGGCGCUUGAGAGAACUCGGGUGAAGGAACUAGGCAAAAUGGUACCGUAACUUCGGGAGAAGGUACGCCGCUUCGGGUGAAGGACCUCGCGUCCGGAGCCUGGGGUGGUCGAAGUGACCAGGUGGCUGCGACUGUUUAUUAAAAACACAGCACUCUGCAAACACGAAAGUGGACGUAUAGGGUGUGACGCCUGCCCGGUGCCGGAAGGUUAAUUGAUGGGGUCAGCCGCAAGCGAAGCUCUUGAUCGAAGCCCCGGUAAACGGCGGCCGUAACUAUAACGGUCCUAAGGUAGCGAAAUUCCUUGUCGGGUAAGUUCCGACCUGCACGAAUGGCGUAACGAUGGCCACACUGUCUCCACCCGAGACUCAGUGAAAUUGAAAUCGCUGUGAAGAUGCAGUGUACCCGCGGCAAGACGGAAAGACCCCGUGAACCUUGACUAUAGCUUUGCACUGGAUUCUGAGUUAGUUUGUGUAGGAUAGGUGGGAGGCUUUGAAACCAGGACGCCAGUUCUGGUGGAGCCAACCUUGAAAUACCACCCUGGCUGACUUGGAAUUCUAACCUAGGCCCGUAAGCCGGGUCAGGGACAGUGCAUGGUGGGUAGUUUGACUGGGGCGGUCUCCUCCAAAAGCGUAACGGAGGAGCGCGAAGGUACCCUCAGCGCGGUCGGAAAUCGCGCAUUGAGUGCAAGAGCAUAAGGGUGCUUGACUGCGAGACAGACAUGUCGAGCAGGAACGAAAGUUGGUUCUAGUGAUCCGGUGGUUCUGUAUGGAAGGGCCAUCGCUCAACGGAUAAAAGGUACUCCGGGGAUAACAGGCUGAUACCGCCCAAGAGUUCAUAUCGACGGCGGUGUUUGGCACCUCGAUGUCGGCUCAUCACAUCCUGGGGCUGAAGCCGGUCCCAAGGGUAUGGCUGUUCGCCAUUUAAAGUGGUACGCGAGCUGGGUUUAGAACGUCGUGAGACAGUUCGGUCCCUAUCUGCCGUGGGCGUUGGAGAUUUGAGGGAAGCUGCUCCUAGUACGAGAGGACCGGAGUGGACGAACCUCUGGUGUUCGGGUUGUCACGCCAGUGGCAUUGCCCGGUAGCUAUGUUCGGACGGGAUAACCGCUGAAAGCAUCUAAGCGGGAAGCCUCUCCCAAGAUGAGAUCUCCCCGGGGACUCGAUCCCCCUGAAGGGCUGUUCAAGACCAGGACGUUGAUAGGUGGGGUGUGUAAGCGCUGUGAGGCGUUGAGCUAACCCAUACUAAUUGCCCGUGUGGCUUGACCAUAUAGCCCAAA